rnacentral:rRNA from 1 species
AGAAUGAACGCUGGCGGCAUGCCUAACACAUGCAAGUCGAACGAAGCCUUCGGGUUUAGUGGCGCACGGGUGCGUAACGCGUGGGAAUCUACCCCUUGGUUCGGAAUAACAGUUGGAAACGACUGCUAAUACCGGAUGAUGACGUAAGUCCAAAGAUUUAUCGCCGAGGGAUGAGCCCGCGUAGGAUUAGGUAGUUGGUGUGGUAAAGGCGCACCAAGCCGACGAUCCUUAGCUGGUCUGAGAGGAUGAUCAGCCACACUGGGACUGAAACACGGCCCAGACUCCUACGGGAGGCAGCAGUGGGGAAUAUUGGACAAUGGGCGAAAGCCUGAUCCAGCAAUGCCGCGUGAGUGAUGAAGGCCUUAGGGUUGUAAAGCUCUUUUACCCGGGAUGAUAAUGACAGUACCGGGAGAUAAGCUCCGGCUAACUCCGUGCCAGCAGCCGC